ACCUGGCUGACUCAGUCGGUGGAGCAGGUGACUCCUGAUCUCAGGGUUGUGGGUUCAAGCCCCACGUUGGGUG
rnacentral:tRNA from 1 species